rnacentral:tRNA from 1 species
GAGGCAGGUGAUACACAAUAAGAACUGCUAAUUCUUAUAUCUGGGGCUAACUACCCCAGCUCCCUCA